CUACGGGUUGCAGCAGUGAGGAAUAUUGCACAAUGGGGGGAACCCUGAUGCAGCAACGCCGCGUGGAGGAUGACGCAUUUCGGUGUGUAAACUCCUUUUAUAUGUCAAGGAAAUGACGGUAGCAUAUGAAUAAGCACAGGCUAACUCCGUGCCAGCAGCCGCGGUAAUACGGAGGGUGCAAGCGUUACUCGGAAUCACUGGGCGUAAAGGACGCGUAGGCGGGUUGGAAAGUCAGGUGUGAAAUCCUACAGCUUAACUGUAGAACUGCACUUGAAACUUCUAAUCUAGAGUAUGGGAGGGGGAGAUGGAAUUAGUGGUGUAGGGGUAAAAUCCGUAGAUAUCACUAGGAAUACCUAAAGCGAAGGCGAUCUCCUGGAACAUUACUGACGCUAAGGCGUGAAAGCGUGGGGAGCAAACAGGAUUAGAUACCCGGGUAGUC
rnacentral:rRNA from 1 species